UACGUAGGGGGCUAGCGUUGUCCGGAAUCAUUGGGCGUAAAGCGCGUGUAGGCGGCCCGGUAAGUCCGCUGUGAAAGUCCAGGGCUCAACCCUGGGAUGCCGGUGGAUACUGUCGGGCUCGAGUCCGGAAGAGGAGUGUGGAAUUCCUGGUGUAGCGGUGAAAUGCGCAGAUAUCAGGAGGAACACCAAUGGCGAAGGCAGCACUCUGGGACGUGACUGACGCUGAGAGACGAAAGCCAGGGGAGCAAACGGG
rnacentral:rRNA from 1 species